AGAGGUUUGAUCCUGGGCUCAGAACGAACGCUGGCGGCAUGGCUAAGACAUGCAAGUCGAACGGACUAUAUGAUUGAGUAAUCUUGAAUAUGGUUAGUGGCGCAAGGGCGAGGAAUAAAUAGGUAACGUACCCCGAACUCCAGGAUAGUGUCUAGAUACUUCGGUAUCUUUCCGAAAGGGGCAGUAAUACUGGAUGAUAUCAUCGGUUUAAUGCAGAUGAUCAAAGAUUUAUCGGUUUGGGAGCGGCCUAUUUCCCAUCAGCUUGUUGGUAAGGUAACGGCUUACCAAGGCUACGACGGGUAUCGGGACUGAGAGGUUGACCCGACGCAUCGGAACUGAGACACUGUCCGGACCUCCACGGAGGGCUGCAGUAACGAAUAUUGCACAAUGGGCGAAAGCCUGAUGCAGCAAUGCCGCGUGUAGGAUGAAGCUCUUAGGAGUGUAAACUACUGUCAGGGGUUAGAAAGUGCGCUUGCGCAUUGAUCAGCCCCAGAGGAAGUCACGGCUAACUUCGUGCCAGCAGCCGCGGUAAUACGAAGGUGGCAAGCGUUGUCCGGAAUCACUGGGCUUAAAGCGCACGCAGGCGGAACAGAAAGUGUCUUGUGAAAGCCCCCGGCUUAACCGGGGAAUUGCUCGGCAAACUACUGCUCUUGAGUCAAGUAGGGGUACAU
rnacentral:rRNA from 1 species